rnacentral:piRNA from 1 species
GGAACAGGUGGUGUUUGGUUACAUGAACAAGU